CGCAUCUGUGCAUGCAGCAUAUCAAUAAGCGGAGGAAAAGAAACUAACAAGGAUUCCCUUAGUAACGGUGAGUGAAGCGGGAAGAGCUCAAAUUUGAAAUCUUCAAGGUUUUACCUUGACGAAUUGUAGUUUAAAGAAGUGUUUUCUGUUGAAGUUUUGGUAAAAGUUCUUUGGAAUAGGACAUCAUAGAGGGUGAGAAUCCCGUAUUUGACCAUUAUUUUCAGCUGUGUGAUACACUUUCAAAGAGUCGGAUUGUUUGGGAAUGCAGUCCAAAAUGGGUGGUAAAUUUCAUCUAAAGCUAAAUAUUGGCGAGAGACCGAUAGCGAACAAGUACCGUGAGGGAAAGAUGAAAAGAACUUUGAAAAGAGAGUUAAACAGUACGUGAAAUUGUCAAAAGGGAAGCGUUUGACACCAGUGUUGUUUUCUCGAAAAUCAAUUAAAAAGAGUUAGAUUUUGUUGUGUAUUGACCUUAACAGCUUGCAUUUCAAUUUUCUUGCUUUUUUUAAUGCACUUUUCGUUUAACAAGUCAACAUCAGUUUCUUCUUGUUGUAAAAAGGUCAUUGGAAGGUGGCUUUCUUUUCGGAGAAAGUGUUUAUAGCCUUUGACUCCUGCAAUCGGAGAGACUGAGGUCUGCAGCGUAGAUCCUUCGGGGUUAGAUACAUUUGUGCUAAGUUAUAGCUUUUUAUAGACAACUUGUUGACUAUGAUUAGUCUUGUAGCUUACUCGCUUAUGCUAUUUUACCUACGCUUAGGAUGUUGACGCGCGUGUGUGCGUG
rnacentral:rRNA from 1 species